UGCGGGAUCGUCUAAUGGUAGGACAACAGACUCUGAAUCUGUUUAUCUAGGUUCGAAUCCUAGUCCCGCAGCCA
rnacentral:tRNA from 2 species